CCCUUAGAUGUUCUGGGCCGCACGCGUGCUACACUGAUUCAUGCAACAAGUUUUGUCCUUGGCUGAUAGGCCUGGGUAAUCUUUGAACGUGAAUCGUGAUGGGGAUAGAUGAUUGCAAUUAUUCAUCUUCAACGAGGAAUUCCUAGUAAACGCAAGUCAUCAGCUUGCAUUGAUUACGUCCCUGCCCUUUGUACACACCGCCCGUCGCACCUACCGAUUGAAUGGUCCGGUGAAAUCUUCGGAUCUGAGAGAUGUCUGAUUAAUUUCGGACGCCUUUUGGAAAAGUUGUUUAAACCUUACCAUUUAGAGGAAGGUGAAGUCGUAACA
rnacentral:rRNA from 1 species